UGGGACCGUAACUGGACAAAGCUGCUGAGC
rnacentral:piRNA from 1 species